GAUGAACGCUGGCGGCGUGCCUAAUACAUGCAAGUCGAGCGAACGGACGAGAAGCUUGCUUCUCUGAUGUUAGCGGCGGACGGGUGAGUAACACGUGGAUAACCUACCUAUAAGACUGGGAUAACUUCGGGAAACCGUAGCUAAUACCGGAUAAUAUUUUGAACCGCAUGGUUCAAAAGUGAAAGACGGUCUUGCUGUCACUUAUAGAUGGAUCCGCGCUGCAUUAGCUAGUUGGUAAGGUAACGGCUUACCAAGGCAACGAUGCAUAGCCGACCUGAGAGGGUGAUCGGCCAAACUGGAAAUGAGACCCGGUCCAGACUCCUACGGGGGGCAGCAGUAGGGAAUCUUCCGCAAUGGGCGAAAGCCUGACGGAGAAACGCGGGGGGAGUGAUGAAGGGUUUCGGAUCGAAAAACUCUGUUAUUAGGGAAGAAAAUAGGUGUAAGUAACUGUGAAAAUCUUGGCGGUACCAAAUAAAAAAGCCCCGGCUAACUACGU
rnacentral:rRNA from 1 species